GUUGUUAAAGAAGAACGUGGGUAAGAGUAACUGUUUACCCAGUGACGGUAUUUAACCAGAAAGCCACGGCUAACUACGUGCCAGCAGCCGCGGUAAUACGUAGGUGGCAAGCGUUAUCCGGAUUUAUUGGGCGUAAAGCGAGCGCAGGCGGUCUUUUAAGUCUAAUGUGAAAGCCUUCGGCUCAACCGAAGAAGUGCAUUGGAAACUGGGAGACUUGAGUGCAGAAGAGGACAGUGGAACUCCAUGUGUAGCGGUGAAAUGCGUAGAUAUAUGGAAGAACACCAGUGGCGAAGGCGGCUGUCUGGUCUGCAACUGACGCUGAGGCUCGAAAGCAUGGGUAGCGAACAGGAUUAGAUACCCUGGUAGUCCAUGCCGUAAACGAUGAUUACUAAGUGUUGGAGGGUUUCCGCCCUUCAGUGCUGCAGCUAACGCAUUAAGUAAUCCGCCUGGGGAGUACGACCGCAAGGUUGAAACUCAAAAGAAUUGACGGGGGCCCGCACAAGCGGUGGAGCAUGUGGUUUAAUUCGAAGCUACGCGAAGAACCUUACCAGGUCUUGACAUCUUCUGACAGUCUAAGAGAUUAGAGGUUCCCUUCGGGGACAGAAUGACAGGUGGUGCAUGGUUGUCGUCAGCUCGUGUCGUGAGAUGUUGGGUUAAGUCCCGCAACGAGCGCAACCCUUAUUACUAGUUGCCAGCAUUAAGUUGGGCACUCUAGUGAGACUGCCGGUGACAAACCGGAGGAAGGUGGGGACGACGUCAAAUCAUCAUGCCCCUUAUGACCUGGGCUACACACGUGCUACAAUGGAUGGUACAACGAGUCGCGAAACCGCGAGGUUAAGCUAAUCUCUUAAAACCAUUCUCAGUUCGGACUGUAGGCUGCAACUCGCCUACACGAAGUCGGAAUCGCUAGUAAUCGCGGAUCAGCAUGCCGCGGUGAAUACGUUCCCGGGCCUUGUACACACCGCCCGUCACACCAUGAGAGUUUGUAACACCCAAAGCCGGUGGGGUAACCU
rnacentral:rRNA from 1 species